rnacentral:rRNA from 1 species
AUUGAACGCUGGCGGAAUGCUUUACACAUGCAAGUCGAACGGUAGAGGGGGCAACCCCUCGAGAGUGGCGAACGGGUGAGUAAUAUAUCGGAACGUGCCCAGUCGUGGGGGAUAACGUAGCGAAAGUUACGCUAAUACCGCAUACGAUCUAAGGAUGAAAGCAGGGGAUCGCAAGACCUCGCGCGAUUGGAGCGGCCGAUAUCAGAUUAGGUAGUUGGUGGGGUAAAGGCUCACCAAGCCAACGAUCUGUAGCUGGUCUGAGAGGACGACCAGCCACACUGGAACUGAGACACGGGCCAGACUCCUACGGGAGGCAGCAGUGGGGAAUUUUGGACAAUGAACGCAAGUCUGAUCCAGCCAUUCCGCGUGCAGGAUGAAGGCCCUCGGGUUGUAAACUGCUUUUGUACGGAACGAAAAGGUCUCUCUUAAUACGGGGGGCUCAUGACGGUACCGUAAGAAUAAGCACCGGCUAACUACGUGCCAGCCGCCGCCGUAA